rnacentral:rRNA from 1 species
GGAAAGCCCAGACGGCAAGGGAUGGGGUCGCGGCCCAUUAGGUAGACGGCGGGGUAACGGCCCACCGUGCCCGCGAUGGGUAGCCGGGUUGAGAGACCGAUCGGCCACAUUGGGACUGAGAUACGGCCCAGACUCCUACGGGAGGCAGCAGUGGGGAAUUUUGCGCAAUGGGGGAAACCCUGACGCAGCAACGCCGCGUGCGGGACGAAGGCCUUCGGGUUGUAAACCGCUUUCAGCAGGGAAUAUAGUGAAGGUACCUGCAGAAGAAGCUCCGGCUAACUACGUGCCAGCAGCCGCGGUAAUACGUAGGGAGCGAGCGUUAUCCGGAUUCAUUGGGCGUAAAGCGCGCGUAGGCGGCCCGUCAAGCGGGGUUUCAAAUCCAGGGGCUCAACCUCUGGCCGGACCCCGAACUGGCGGGCUCGAGUGCGGUAGAGGAAGGUGGAAUUCCCAGUGUAGCGGUGAAAUGCGCAGAUAUUGGGAAGAACACCGAUGGCGAAGGCAGCCUUCUGGGCCGCCACUGACGCUGAGGCGCGAAAGCUAGGGGAGCGAACAGGAUUAGAUACCCUGGUAGUCCUAGCCGUAAACGAUGAACGCUAGGUGUGGGGGAGCAUCUCCUCCGUGCC